UACGCUCUACAACCCUUUGUGAA
rnacentral:rRNA from 1 species